ACACCAACCAGAGGGCGAACGUAGCAUCUUUCAGGGAGCUGUAAUGAGGUGACCAAUAAUGGGUGCAAUUAAGAUCAGCUGUGCAGGUUAAUUUAGCAUGUAUUGAUGGUUUAACAAGACCAGCUGGCAAUAAUAAGGUUGCUACCUUUUGAGGCAGAAUUUCCAGGCAAGACUUCAAAAUUGGCAUGUCCCAAUCCCAUGUAUCCAUCGCCGGGAGGCUAUUCCAUAACACCUUGCAGCGCAGCAAAAAAUAAUUGACGACGGACAGAAGUCCCCACUUGGGAGAACGUUUUCCAGAAAUCCACAAAAUAGACUAGUGGCACCUGAUCACGUUUCACUCCAUUGUAUUGGCUUGGCAGGAGAAAAACAGUCCUGCACGACUCGUUUGGAAGUUGAAUGAUAUUCCACCCUGCAGAUGUAAGGAACUUGUUGUGAACCUCCCAGCCAACAGGAUAAUCAACAUAUCCCAGGAUAUUAUUUAGGAGUGUGCCAACCUCACAAUUUUAGAAAUAGAUUCACCCAUGAUAUUAUUUAUCAUGCAGAUUUGACAGGACAUUGUAAUUCAUAAAGCUCAUUCUGAAA